AGUAGCAUAUUACUCCUUCAGGUAACAUUUAUAAAAUAUAUAUUAUAUGUGAAUUCCUUUGGGAUGCAGAGGAACAGGUGUUUCUCUCCUUUUUCCUCUGCUGCUGAAGGUAGUGGAGGGAAACAAAAUUAUUAGACACUUGCUUUGGGAUUUGGGCGUUCGUGACAGCCCUCUCACAGGCCUAGUGAACCAUGCAAUCAGGCUGCCAGUUAACUUGUCGCUAUGUAAAUGAAAACUGAAUUUUUUCAGAGAAGCGAACUCUACAAAGUGGGUAAGUUGGUCUUCAAUGAAUAUGAUUCAAAGUUCUCGUUAAAUGGGAAGCUCAAAAAAUUUUGGAUUGCAUUAUAAAACAGAGCCAAUGAGAAAGCCUCGUAUCUUUUAGGAAAGAGUAAAUUUAGUUGUUUAAUUAUAAAUGCUGAUGACUGAGGGGAAAAAUAGGUUGCUUUUGCCUGGAAACAAAUGCCGAAUCUUAGUGAACUAAUUUAAAAAUUGCCAAUACAAGAAAAAUAAGAACGAAGGUAAUGUUUACCAAUAUUCAAUUUGUUUCUCUCCAUUUCUGUCUCCUUACAGUUAGACUGAGCCAUUUGACUAGUUUUGCCUGAAAAACUGUGUGCAGAAAUGACUUAUUACUACUUCCAGUCUAAGGCAAUAAAAAGCCAGUGGUCGUUUCUCUAAUUUCUCUUUCUUCCUCUCUUAUGACUGAAGAAGACUCUGCUACAAGAUGGUGAAACUUCUGUCCACCAGGCUUCCUGAGCAACUAUGGAGCAGCGUGUCAGUGGACCAAUGUCAACCAUGUUGCAUGAAUGAUACAUCAACUUGUUUUUUGAGCUUCUAGAUGGGAUCGUUUUUUACCCCAGCACAAUUUAGCUAAUCCUGACUAAACUAAGGAGUAAGCAACUAAAUAUCUUAGAGAGAGCCAAACUCUAAAAUUAAAAAUGAAACCGAGACAAAAACCUCACAGUCUCAGAUUCUCAAUAGCUCUCUAAGCAGGAAUUUGCUUUAAUUAGCUAAGGUUCUUGCUGAAAUGUUCUCUCUAGCCUCAAAACCAGCUCUGUUUUGUCUAACUGCCUACAUGUUUCUCAAUUCUGUAGCUCCGAGUUACUUGUUGGUCAACCAAGUCUACAGGUUUAUUGAGAGAUGAUUACAAUAUAACGUUGUAUAAAUGUAAGGUGAAAACCCAUUUUGGAAUGGAAGAAGCAAUAUGGUGGUUCCAAGAGGCAAGAUUUAUCAAUAUUAAAUUCAUGCUGUGCAAUCAAUAGGAAGGAGGAAGAACAUGAAAAGUUACAAUAUGAGAAAAACACUGACACCAUGCUGGUGAGGACGCAGUUCAGUGGAAAAUAUUUCUUUGUUCUACUCUCUAUGCAGAUUUUGCUCUUAAAAAAAACACAUGUUAAAAUUU